ACGGGUGAGUAACGCGUAAAGAACUUGCCUCACAGAUAGGGACAACAUUUAGAAAUGAAUGCUAAUACCUAAUAUUAUGGAAAUAGGGCAUCCUAUAAUUAUGAAAGCUAAAUGCGCUGUGAGAGAGCUUUGCGUCCCAUUAGCUAGUUGGAGAGGUAACGGCUCACCAAGGCGAUGAUGGGUAGCCGGCCUGAGAGGGUGAACGGCCACAAGGGGACUGAGACACGGCCCUUACUCCUACGGGAGGCAGCAGUGGGGAAUAUUGGACAAUGGACCAAGAGUCUGAUCCAGCAAUUCUGUGUGCACGAUGAAGUUUUUCGGAAUGUAAAGUGCUUUCAGUUGGGAAGAAAAGANUGACG
rnacentral:rRNA from 1 species